CAUGCCGCGUGUGUGAAAAGGCCUUCGGGUUGUAAAGCACUUUUGUCCGGAAAGAAAACCUCGUGGUUAAUACCCGUGGGGGAUGACGGUACCGGAAGAAUAAGCACCGGCUAACUACGUGCCAGCAGCCGCGGUAAUACGUAGGGUGCAAGCGUUAAUCGGAAUUACUGGGCGUAAAGCGUGCGCAGGCGGUUCGCUAAGACAGAUGUGAAAUCCCCGGGCUUAACCUGGGAACUGCAUUUGUGACUGGCGGGCUAGAGUAUGGCAGAGGGGGGUAGAAUUCCACGUGUAGCAGUGAAAUGCGUAGAGAUGUGGAGGAAUACCGAUGGCGAAGGCAGCCCCCUGGGCCAAUACUGACGCUCAUGCACGAAAGCGUGGGGAGCAAACA
rnacentral:rRNA from 1 species